UUAAGCGACUAAGCGUACACGGUGGAUGCCCUGGCAGUCAGAGGCGAUGAAGGACGUGCUAAUCUGCGAUAAGCGUCGGUGAGGUGAUAUGAACCGUUAUAACCGGCGAUUUCCGAAUGGGGAAACCCAGUGUGAUUCGUCACACUAUCAUUAACUGAAUCCAUAGGUUAAUGAGGCGAACCGGGGGAACUGAAACAUCUAAGUACCCCGAGGAAAAGAAAUCAACCGAGAUUCCCCCAGUAGCGGCGAGCGAACGGGGAGGAGCCCAGAGCCUGAAUCAGUGUGUGUGUUAGUGGAAGCGUCUGGAAAGGCGCGCGAUACAGGGUGACAGCCCCGUACACAAAAAUGCACAUAUUGUGAGCUCGAUGAGUAGGGCGGGACACGUGGUAUCCUGUCUGAAUAUGGGGGGACCAUCCUCCAAGGCUAAAUACUCCUGACUGACCGAUAGUGAACCAGUACCGUGAGGGAAAGGCGAAAAGAACCCCGGCGAGGGGAGUGAAAAAGAACCUGAAACCGUGUACGUACAAGCAGUGGGAGCCUCUUAAUGGGGUGACUGCGUACCUUUUGUAUAAUGGGUCAGCGACUUAUAUUCUGUAGCAAGGUUAACCGAAUAGGGGAGCCGAAGGGAAACCGAGUCUUAACUGGGCGUUAAGUUGCAGGGUAUAGACCCGAAACCCGGUGAUCUAGCCAUGGGCAGGUUGAAGGUUGGGUAACACUAACUGGAGGACCGAACCGACUAAUGUUGAAAAAUUAGCGGAUGACUUGUGGCUGGGGGUGAAAGGCCAAUCAAACCGGGAGAUAGCUGGUUCUCCCCGAAAGCUAUUUAGGUAGCGCCUCGUGAAUUCAUCUCCGGGGGUAGAGCACUGUUUCGGCAAGGGGGUCAUCCCGACUUACCAACCCGAUGCAAACUGCGAAUACCGGAGAAUGUUAUCACGGGAGACACACGGCGGGUGCUAACGUCCGUCGUGAAGAGGGAAACAACCCAGACCGCCAGCUAAGGUCCCAAAGUCAUGGUUAAGUGGGAAACGAUGUGGGAAGGCCCAGACAGCCAGGAUGUUGGCUUAGAAGCAGCCAUCAUUUAAAGAAAGCGUAAUAGCUCACUGGUCGAGUCGGCCUGCGCGGAAGAUGUAACGGGGCUAAACCAUGCACCGAAGCUGCGGCAGCGACACUAUGUGUUGUUGGGUAGGGGAGCGUUCUGUAAGCCUGUGAAGGUGGCCUGUGAGGGUUGCUGGAGGUAUCAGAAGUGCGAAUGCUGACAUAAGUAACGAUAAAGCGGGUGAAAAGCCCGCUCGCCGGAAGACCAAGGGUUCCUGUCCAACGUUAAUCGGGGCAGGGUGAGUCGACCCCUAAGGCGAGGCCGAAAGGCGUAGUCGAUGGGAAACAGGUUAAUAUUCCUGUACUUGGUGUUACUGCGAAGGGGGGACGGAGAAGGCUAUGUUGGCCGGGCGACGGUUGUCCCGGUUUAAGCGUGUAGGCUGGUUUUCCAGGCAAAUCCGGAAAACCAAGGCUGAGGCGUGAUGACGAGGCACUACGGUGCUGAAGCGACAAAUGCCCUGCUUCCAGGAAAAGCCUCUAAGCAUCAGGUAACAUCAAAUCGUACCCCAAACCGACACAGGUGGUCAGGUAGAGAAUACCAAGGCGCUUGAGAGAACUCGGGUGAAGGAACUAGGCAAAAUGGUGCCGUAACUUCGGGAGAAGGCACGCUGAUAUGUAGGUGAAGCGACUUGCUCGUGGAGCUGAAAUCAGUCGAAGAUACCAGCUGGCUGCAACUGUUUAUUAAAAACACAGCACUGUGCAAACACGAAAGUGGACGUAUACGGUGUGACGCCUGCCCGGUGCCGGAAGGUUAAUUGAUGGGGUUAGCGGCAACGCGAAGCUCUUGAUCGAAGCCCCGGUAAACGGCGGCCGUAACUAUAACGGUCCUAAGGUAGCGAAAUUCCUUGUCGGGUAAGUUCCGACCUGCACGAAUGGCGUAAUGAUGGCCAGGCUGUCUCCACCCGAGACUCAGUGAAAUUGAACUCGCUGUGAAGAUGCAGUGUACCCGCGGCAAGACGGAAAGACCCCGUGAACCUUUACUAUAGCUUGACACUGAACAUUGAGCCUUGAUGUGUAGGAUAGGUGGGAGGCUUUGAAGUGUGGACGCCAGUCUGCAUGGAGCCGACCUUGAAAUACCACCCUUUAAUGUUUGAUGUUCUAACGUGGGCCCCUUACCGGGGUUGCGGACAGUGUCUGGUGGGUAGUUUGACUGGGGCGGUCUCCUCCUAAAGAGUAACGGAGGAGCACGAAGGUUGGCUAAUCCUGGUCGGACAUCAGGAGGUUAGUGCAAUGGCAUAAGCCAGCUUGACUGCGAGCGUGACGGCGCGAGCAGGUGCGAAAGCAGGUCAUAGUGAUCCGGUGGUUCUGAAUGGAAGGGCCAUCGCUCAACGGAUAAAAGGUACUCCGGGGAUAACAGGCUGAUACCGCCCAAGAGUUCAUAUCGACGGCGGUGUUUGGCACCUCGAUGUCGGCUCAUCACAUCCUGGGGCUGAAGUAGGUCCCAAGGGUAUGGCUGUUCGCCAUUUAAAGUGGUACGCGAGCUGGGUUUAGAACGUCGUGAGACAGUUCGGUCCCUAUCUGCCGUGGGCGCUGGAGAACUGAGGGGGGCUGCUCCUAGUACGAGAGGACCGGAGUGGACGCAUCACUGGUGUUCGGGUUGUCAUGCCAAUGGCACUGCCCGGUAGCUAAAUGCGGAAGAGAUAAGUGCUGAAAGCAUCUAAGCACGAAACUUGCCCCGAGAUGAGUUCUCCCUGACUCCUUGAGGGUCCUGAAGGAACGUUGAAGACGACGACGUUGAUAGGCCGGGUGUGUAAGCGCAGCGAUGCGUUGAGCUAACCGGUACUAAUGAACCGUGAGGCUUAACCUU
rnacentral:rRNA from 1 species